GAUCAUGGCUCAGGAUGAACGCUAGCUACAGGCUUAACACAUGCAAGUCGAGGGGCAGCGGGAAUCUAGCUUGCUAGAUUUGCCGGCGACCGGCGCACGGGUGAGUAACACGUAUCCAAUCUACCCAUGGCUCGGGGAUAGCCUUUCGAAAGAAAGAUUAAUACCCGAUGGUCUCGGUUUAAGGCAUCUUAGACUGAGUAAAGAUUUAUCGGCGAUGGAUGAGGAUGCGUCUGAUUAGGUAGUUGGCGGGGUAACGGCCCACCAUGGCGACGAUCAGUAGCCGGUCUGAGAGGAUGAACGGCCACAUUGGGACUGAGACACGGCCCAGACUCCUACGGGAGGCAGCAGUAGGGAAUAUUGCACAAUGGAGGAAACUCUGAUGCAGCCAUGCCGCGUGUGUGAAGAAGGCCUUCGGGUUGUAAAGCACUUUCGGAGGGGAGGAAAAGAUGACGUUACCCUCAGAAGAAGCACCGGCUAACUCCGUG
rnacentral:rRNA from 1 species